GCAGGGAAGAAGCGAAAGUGACGGUACCUGCAGAAAAAGCGCCGGCAAACUACGUGCCAGCAGCCGCGGUAAUACGUAGGGCGCAAGCGUUAUCCGGAAUUAUUGGGCGUAAAGAGCUCGUAGGCGGUUUGUCACGUCUGCUGUGAAAUCCCGAGGCUCAACUUCGGGUCUGCAGUGGGUACGGGCAGACUAGAGUGCGGUAGGGGAGACGGAACCCUGGUGUAGCGGUGGAAUGCGCAGAUAUCAGGAGGAACACCGAUGGCGAAGGCAGACUCUGGGCCGUAACUGACGCUGAGGAGCGAAAGGGUGGGGAGCAAACAGGCCAGAUACCCUGGUAGUCCACCCCGUAAACGUUGGGAACUAGUUGUGGGGUCCAUCCACGGAUUCCGUGACGUAGCUAACGUAUUAAGUUCUCCGCCUGGGUAGUACGGCCGCAAGGCUAAAACUCAAAGGAAUUGACGGGGACCCGCACAAGCGGCGGAGCACGCGUUACAAUUCGAUGCAACGCGAAGAACCUUACCAAGGCUUGAC
rnacentral:rRNA from 1 species